rnacentral:rRNA from 1 species
ACGGAAGGCAGCAGUGGGGAAUAUUGCGCAAUGGGGGGAACCCUGACGCAGCAAUACCGCGUGAGUGAAGAAGGUUUUCGGAUCGUAAAACUCUUUUAUCAGGGAAGAAAGAUGACGGUACCUGAUGAAGAAGUCCCGGCUAACUACGUGCCAGCAGCCGCGGUAAUACGUAGGGGACAAGCGUUGUCCGGAAUGACUGGGCGUAAAGGGCACGUAGGCGGUUUGAUAAGUCUGAUGUGAAGGGUACCGGCUCAACCGGUGACAUGCAUUGGAAACUGUCAGACUUGAGUACUGGAGAGGCAAGCGGAAUUACUAGUGUAGCGGUGAAAUGCGUAGAUAUACGGAGGAACACCAGUGGCGAAGGCGGCUUGCUGGACGACAACUGACGCUGAGGCGCGAAAGCGUGGGGAGCAAACAGGAUUAGAUCCCCUGGUA